AACGAACGCUGGCGGCAGGCUUAACACAUGCAAGUCGAGCGCCCCGCAAGGGGAGCGGCAGACGGGUGAGUAACGCGUGGGAAUCUACCCAUCCCUACGGAAUAGCUCCGGGAAACUGGAAUUAAUACCGUAUACGCCCUACGGGGGAAAGAUUUAUCGGGGAUGGAUGAGCCCGCGUUGGAUUAGCUAGUUGGUGGGGUAAAGGCCUACCAAGGCGACGAUCCAUAGCUGGUCUGAGAGGAUGAUCAGCCACAUUGGGACUGAGACACGGCCCAAACUCCUACGGGAGGCAGCAGUGGGGAAUAUUGGACAAUGGGGGCAACCCUGAUCCGGCCAUGCCGCGUGAGUGAUGAAGGCCUUAGGGUUGUAAAGCUCUUUUAUCCGGGAAGAUAAUGACUGUACCGGAAGAAUAAGCCCCGGCUAACUUCGUGCCAGCAGCCGCCGUAA
rnacentral:rRNA from 1 species